UCAGCUUGAAUCUUAUUCUCUAUCUUUUUACUCUCUGUUAUUAAUUUGUCACCUUGUGCUACCUUGAAAACUUGUGAUGGAGUAGCAAGUGGCUUCUUCCAUCGGAACUCGCCGUAUCAUUAAACAUGACUGCUGGUAGCCUCGCAAGUAGAGAGGCAAUCUUACUCUAUGACAGUGCAUCGCAUGCCUUGACUCACAUGCCAUAUUUAAACUUAUAUUUUUUGCUCGCUGUUUUAUAUAAACAGUUUAUUGCUUUGUAGAAUUUGUUCACCGCUUGGUACAGCACCGUUUAUUUUCUAACACAAUUUAUUCACUACUUACUCAGAUACAAUUUGUUCACUUCUUAAUAGGAGAUAAUUUACAGCUUAAUACGAGAUUCUUCACUGCUUGCUUGAAUUUAUUUAUUGUUCUUUAUAGCCUUCAAAAGCAUUUUAGAUCUUAACAUAUUUCUGAGAUUUCAUAACAUAUUUCUACCGAAAGAACGGAUUUUCUCGAACAAUACCAAACUCUACCGAAUGCGGCAGUGGAACGCGGACACUAGUGGUGAGGAGCACAGCCGCGCCGCCCAUGUAGAAGUAGAGAUGUCAACGGGUCGGAUUUGGGGCGGAUUUUUAAAAACCUGAACCCGAACCCGACUCCAAACCCGAGACCCGAACCCGAACCCGAACCCGACGGAUUUUAAAAAUCCAUAUCCAAACCCGAACCCAACCAAAAAUCCGAAACCCGAAACCGAACCUGAACCUGAAAAUUUGAAUCCGAAACAAUUAUUUCUUUUUUCAAUAUUUCAAAAUAUUAUAUUAUAUUAAACCUAAAUUUUUAAAAUACAAAUUCAAAUAUAACAUCAAAUUUUUAUAUAUAUAUUAUAUAUAAUACAAAAUAAAUUCGGGUUCGGGUCGGGUUCGGGUUCGGGUCGGGUACAAUCAAAAUCCAUAUCCGAAUCCAUAUCCGUCGGGUUUCUAUUUUUGAUAUCUAUAUCCGAAUCCAUAUCCAUAUCCACCGGAUAUAUCCGUUUCAUUCGGGUUCGGAUUCGGAUAAAAUUUCGGGUAUCCAUACCUAUUGACAACCCUAUGU
rnacentral:lncRNA from 1 species